UCAGCAGUCAGCUGUAGAACUUGAUAGAAACUUAGCUAAGCCAUUCCUCAGCCCUUCCAUUGGCCCUUGUGAUUGUAUCCUAACCCAUUUUCCUCCAUAGCAUUUCUUUUCCCCAUGAUCUUUCCAAAGAAUUCACCUAUAGAUCUCAAUUCUCUCUCGCCAUGCUAAGAUUAUCUUUCUUACUACCAAUUCCUUCUAGGCUCCAUCAUUUCUUUCCUAACGUCUUCUGAUUCGACUUUGAGACAACCCAGCACUCUGGAAUCUUUGCUGUGACUUCUCCAAUGGACAGAUGUUCUGUUCCAUCCUCUUAACGAGGCUUCAUGAUUUCUUUCCUAUCGUCUUCUGAUUCAACUUUGGGACAACCCAGCACUCUGGAAUCUUUGCUGCAACUUCUCCAAUGGACAGAUGUUCCUUUCCAUCCUCUUAACAAGCUGUCCACCCUAGAAAAUCGGAACAAGUGGUUGCUGGCAAGCAAAGCAUAUGAUGGUGUCCUGGUUGUGUUCAGAUGGCUCAGAAGAUGUAUUUGGUUCAAGAUUGGAUGGGGAGUGGCAGACCUCCACUUUGGCCAGUGAGGUAUCCACCCUAGAAAAUCGAAAUAAGUGGUUGCAGGCAAGCAAAGCAUGUGAUGGUGACCCGGUUGUGUUCAGAUGGCUCAGAAAAUACAUUUUGUUCAAGAUUGGAUGGGGAGUGGCAGACGUCCACUAUGGCCAGUGAGGUAUCCACCCUAGAAAAUCAGAACAAGUGGUUGCUGGCAAGCAAAGCAUGUGAUGGUGCCCCAGUUGGGUUCAGAUGGCUCAGAAGAUGUAUUUGGUUCAAGAUUGGAUGGGGAGUGGCAGACCUCCACUUUGGCCAGUGAGCUGUCCACCCUAGAAAAUCAGAACAAGUGGUUGCUGGCAAGCAAAGCAUACGAUGGUGUCCCUGUGAUGUUCAGGUGGCUCAGAAGAUGUAUUUGGUUCAAGAUUGGAGGGGGGAGUGGCAGACCUCUACUUUGGCCAGUGAGCUGUCCACCCUAGAAAAUCAGAACAAGUGGUUGCUGGCAAGCAAAGCAUAUGAUGGUGUCCCUGUGAUGUUCAGGUGGCUCAGAAGAUGUAUUUGGUUCAAGAUUGGAGGGGGAGUGGCAGACCUCUACUUUGGCCAGUGAGCUGUCCACCCUAGAAAAUCGGAACAAGUGGUUGCUGGCAAGCAAAGCAUAUGAUGGUGUCCUGGUUGUGUUCAGAUGGCUCAGAAGAUGUAUUUGGUUCAAGAUUGGAGGGGGAGUGGCAGACCUCCACUUUGGCCAGUGAGGUAUCCACCCUAGAAAAUCGGAACAAGUGGUUGCAGGCAAGCAAAGCAUAUGAUGGUGUCCCUGUGAUGUUCAGGAUUGAUCAGAAGAUGUAUUUGGUUCAAGAUUGGAGGGGGAGUGGCAGACCUCCACUUUGGCCAGUGAGGCUACAUCAUUUCAUUUCUAACAUCUUCUGAUUCGACUUUGAGACAACCCAGAACUCUGGAAUUUUUGCUGCAUCUUCUCCAAUGGACAGAUGUUCCUUUCCAUUCUCUUAACAAGGUGUCCAACCUAGAAAAUAGGAAUACCUGGUUGUAGGCAAGCAAAGCAUAUGAUGGUACCCCUGUGGUGUUCAGGAUUGAUCAGAAGAUGUAUUUGGUUCAAGAUUGGAGGGGGAGUGGCAGACCUCUACUUUGGCCAGUGAGCUGUCCACCCUAGAAAAUCGGAACAAGUGGUUGCUGGCAAGCAAAGCAUAUGAUGGUGUCCCUGUGAUGUUCAGGUGCCUCAGAAGAUGUAUUUGGUUCAAGAUUGGAGGGGGAGUGGCAGACCUCUACUUUGGCCAGUGAGCUGUCCACCCUAGAAAAUCAAAAUAAGUGGUUGCUGGCAAGCAAAGCAUGUGAUGGUGACCCGGUUGUGUUCAGAUGGCUCAGAAGAUGUAUUUGGUUCAAGAUUGGAGGAGGAGUGGCAGACCUCCACUUUGGCCAGUGAGGUGAGUGGCUGUGGCAGACUGCAUGAUGCGUCCAAACCCUUCUGAUCAGACUGACCCUGAGGUGCUGGAAGUCUUGAAUAGGAAAUCAAGGAAUCAAGAUCUCAGAGGCUAAGCUCUGCGCCUUACUUACAGGGAUCUUAACCUGUUGUCCUGACGUUUCCCAACAAGGAGCAUUUACUAAACAAAAAUGGCAUUUCCUCGGGCAGACUAUGAAACAAAGUGAGUCAAAAUGACACAGAAUGUUUACCGCCAUUGACAUUCCAUGCAAUCUAGUGAGGAUACUGCACAAACUGUGGAGAGAUGAGCUGUUACUCAGCUGCAGUCCCCACCUUUCACUGCUUCUACUCAGGCUUCUUACCCCUUUGAAUGAGAUGCCCAAGAGAAACACCCCUUCUUUAAUGCUGCAGAUAUCAAGAACUAGCCCCAUGGCCUGGGGCAAACCUCCUGCCCGAACCCCUUCUUUCUGUGCCCUGUCCUCACCUCUGUUAAAUGAUAGCUAAACCUCAGCAUUGAGACAUGCCUGUUUGUCCAUCUAUCAGCCUGUGUGUCUGACUUUUGUGCUUUUUAACCUGUUGAAGCCUGGGUAAAUACAACCCCCAGUGUGCACCAGCAGGACCACCCGUUUGAGUCCUUGUUUGGGAUUGGUCUUGAAUUGGACCCAUUCCGUGAUAGAGGAGGGACAAUGGCCAUGAACUCUCCUUAGCACGGAAUUAAUACUUUUCAAGACCAAUCCCAGUAAAGGAAAUAUUGGACAUCAUUCCCUCGACUAGCAUAGAACUGGUCCAAUUCAAGACAAAUCCCUCCCCGGAAAUAAGGAGUAAGGGCCCCUGGAGCAUGCUGGGAGAUGCAGUCUCCCAAGCCACAAUACUUGAAAAGCCAUACUAUCUCUAUGUAUCUAUGAAAACGGAGAGAUAGACAACUGGACAGACAGAAGGACUGACAGAGAGAUUAGUUGCUAUGUUAUUCUGUCUAUCUGCGUGCUGUUUGGUGCAUCUGUCUGUCUAUCUUUUGAGGGUUUUCAAGUGUUGUGACCUCCUGGGGAACUACAACCCCCAGUGUGCUCCAGGAGUCCCACCCCUUUGAGUCCUGCCUUGGAGUGCUCCCGAAUUCGACCAAUCCCGAGUUAGGAGAGGGACAAAGCGAAUGGCCUCUCCUGAGCCCAGGAUUGAUCCAUUUAUAAGCCAAUCAUACACAGCAGUAGCGAGGAAUAUCCCUAUCCCUGCCUCGGUCCAAUUCAAGACCAAUCCCUCCCAGGAAAUGAGAUGGAGGGACUGCUCGAGAACACUGCAGUGUGCAGUUCCUCAGGGCACAAGGCUACAAAACACAUUCUAUCUCUAGCUCUAUAUCCAUAUAGACUGAGAGAUGGCCAAGGGGACCGACAGACAGGAGGACUGACAGACAGAGACCUUCGUCAAAGGUCAAUGGCAUUCCCAGUUUCCCUAUUGUCAACCUGGAAUCAAGAAACCCUAAACUUGUGGCCUAGAAGUAUCUGGUGUAGCCUGGGUUUCCGGAGGACCUUGUAGGUUGGAGAUCCCAAAGUUUUGUACUUGUUCCCUGAUCCUGUGAGAAUCCAGAGGGAUAGAGACAGACAAACAGAAAGACAGAUAGGCAGGCCGACUGGCAGGUGGGUAGUCAGAUAGGUAGCAGGGCAGGUAGAUGGAUAUAGAGAUGGCACAUCGAGAGACACAUAGUCAGAUACAGACAGAGAGAUAGACAGGCAGGCAGGCAGGCAGGCAGGCAGACAGACAGAGAGGUAAAUAGAUAGGAAAAUAGAACAAAAAGAAAUAGAAAAACAAACAGACAGAACGAGAUAUAGUCAGAGACAUUGCAAGAUUAAUAGAACAACAGAAUAUCAGAGAGUAAAACAAAGGGACAGACAGAGACAGAUAGAUGGAAGGACAGACCGAGGGAAGAUAGAAUGGAGAGACAGACAGACUGAGAGAGAGACAGAAAGUCAGGCACAUGGAUAGACACACAGACACGGAUAGACAGAUAGCAAUAUAGAUAGAUAGAUACAGUUAGAUCUAUAGAUUGAUAUAUAGUCAGAAUGAGAGAAAAAAGGACUGACAGACACAGACAGACAGAUCGACAGACAUACAGAAAGACUGACAGAUGGACUAGUUUCUCUGUUAUUUUGUCUAUCUGUCUGUCUGUCUGUGUGUCUAUCAUCCUGUCCUUCUGUCUGCAAGACCCAUCUGGCAAUAUCUAUGUGUCCAUGUGUUUAUGGAUGUAUGUACGAAUCUCUCUCUCUCUCUCCCUCUCUCUGUCUGUCUGUCUGUCUGUCUAUCUAUAUAUCUAUCUAUCUCUCUAUGUCUUAGUGCUUCUCUCUGUGUAGUCUAUAUAAUUAUGUACCUGCCUGUCUGUGUAUCUAAUGAGUUGUCUGUAUCUCUGCCAUUCAGUCAAGUCUGGUUAUAUCUCUUUCUCUGUGUGUUUUUAUGUGUCUAUAUUUUUAUGUAUCUAUUUAUGUAUCUCUAUGUAUCUAUCUAACUACUAUUGACUUGUAAAAACAGAAAACUAUUAAAUAGUCAGAAAAGUGACUCUUUCAUCAAGGAAACGGGGGUCAAUGUGACUGUAGAGCUCUAGACAGAGCUGGGCGCCACAAGGCUACGGAGAGUCCCAGGAUUGAACUCUGGUGGCUCUGG